UACGGAGGAUGCGAGCGUUAUCCGGAUUUAUUGGGUUUAAAGGGUGCGUAGGCGGCCGAUCAAGUCAGCGGUGAAAUGCAAGGGCCUAACCCUUGACGUGCCGUUGAAACUGAAUGGCUAGAAUGCGGAUGCUGUGGGAGGAAUGUGUAGUGUAGCGGUGAAAUGCAUAGAUAUUACACAGAACACCGAUUGCGAAGGCAUCUCACAAAUCCGCUAUUGACGCUGAGGCACGAAAGUGCGGGGAUCAAAC
rnacentral:rRNA from 1 species